UGUCCUCGCCCCGGGCCCGCUCCCCUGUCCCCUCCACACCCUGUCCCCGCGGUGUGUCCUGUCGGGUGGCCGCCGGAGUGGAGGCAGCGCUGGGCCCGGCGCUGCCGUGAGGGGCGAUGGGAGCGGCUCUACCGCCGCCAGGGCAGUUUCUGAGGGGUGCAAUUUAACGAGUCCGUGAGCUUCAGGGGAGCUGAAGUGUAAGGAAUAUCAGCUCUGGAUUUCUUGAUGUUUUUUGCAUUUCACAAAAUGCUGUACUCUGUUCAGUAAACUGAGUGUUAAUUAAUUUGAUCUAUUCCUUCACUGUCUGCACGAGGUAGGUAGAAACUGCAACUCCAGUGUACUUUUUUUUAGAAGAUCCACAUACGACCCUUGCUUGGUACAUGGCAGUUCUCAGUACCCUGAGUUUUUGUACACUGGAGCUAAGACAAACCCAAAUGUUUUUAGAACAAAGUGUUGAGGUUAAAAAAAAGUAGGUUUGUUUGCCUUUAAU